UACGAAGGGGACUAGCGUUGUUCGGAAUCACUGGGCGUAAAGCGCACGUAGGCGGAUUCGUAAGUCAGGGGUGAAAUCCCGGGGCUCAACCUCGGAACUGCCUUUGAUACUGCGGGUCUUGAGUCCGAUAGAGGUGGGUGGAAUUCCUAGUGUAGAGGUGAAAUUCGUAGAUAUUAGGAAGAACACCGGUGGCGAAGGCGGCGAGCUGGUCCAUUACUGACGCUGAGGCGCGACAGCGUGGGGAGCAAACAGG
rnacentral:rRNA from 1 species